GCAUUCUUAUUUAUUUUCCUUUCAUUACAGGUUAGGAGAGAAUUCGUCGAAGAUACAGAACUGAGGAGAAAUAUGCAAUUUAAGGAAAAGUUUUGCACCAUAUUGAUGUGGCAUCUGCGCCACGCAAAUUAUCCUUAUUUAUGCGUUGGCGUCAGGAGAUGGAGACGGCAUCAUAAAAUUGUCAACUUUUUGUAUUUAAAAUCGCGAAAGUUGGCGAUUUUGUUUUGCUUUUGCGGUGCCUGUCUCUUAUUGUCGGUUGCGUUGAAGGAUUUACGUGCGUGGCGUCAGGAGUAUGGAAUCGCAUAUCUGUAUCUGCUUGUUUGCCUGGCAAGUAUUACGUUUUUCUGUGUGGCCUUUAUUAAUUUUGUAUCAUAUUCUUAUUGGUUUUUUUCUUUCUUUACAGGUUUUCGGAAAAUAAUUGGACGUACGAUACUGCGGAAAAUUAUGCAUUUUAGGGACGGAUUUUGUGGCUUAUAAGUGUGGUGUCAGCUCCGCGCUAGUGAUCCUUGAUGAUGCAGUGGCAUCAAGAGGUGGAGACGGCGUCGUAAAAAUGUAAAUUUUUUGUGUUUAUAAUCGCGAUAGCUGCCGAUUUUGUUUUUCUUUUGCGGAGACCGCCUCUUCUUGUUUGUUGCAUUGGAUUACCAGUUGGCUGUAGUCAAGGAGGUUUUAGCGUCAACUAAUGUAGGCGCUCGUCGUUCUGGAUCAGCCCGUCUAUUGCAGCGCAGCAUGCAUGUAGAUUGCAUCGGUGAUAAGGGAUACUAAUCAGGACCGUGUGGCAAGAUAGUUCAGGACUUGUUUGUAUUCUUCCGUAUCUUUCAUCAGUAUCAGCUGGAGUGCGUUUUCGUAAGCUUGAUUAUCCGGAUGCUUUGGGGUGUGAGUAUUGCUUCUAUUGUUUAUAUUUUAAUGCCAUUAUCUAAUUGAGUUUGUAUUCUAAGAAAAUUAGGCUGCGUCGAGGAAGGAGAUGACCGUGCAGGAGUUUGGGAGCAGACUGACGUGCGCUUUUCCAUCGGAUAUAGAUGUCGUUAGAAUAAGUAUAAGUAGAUGUAGGAUUAAUUGGAAGUUUCCAUGUCAAGAUUGUUAACUCUUCCUUGUAUGAUUAAGGCCAAUAAACUGUCAAUUUUCUUUUCUAAA